rnacentral:rRNA from 1 species
AUUGAACGCUGGCGGCAGGCUUAACACAUGCAAGUCGAGCGAGGUGAUGGUGCUUGCACUAUCACUUAGCGGCGGACGGGUGAGUAAUGCUUAGGAAUCUGCCUAUUAGUGGGGGACAACACCUCGACAGGGAUGCUAAUACCGCAUACGUCCUACGGGAGAAAGCAGGGGAUCACUUGUGACCUUGCGCUAAUAGAUGAGCCUAAGUCGGAUUAGCUAGUUGGUGGGGGAAAGGCCUACCAAGGCGACGAUCUGUAGCGGGUCUGAGAGGAUGAUCCGCCACACUGGGACUGAGACACGGCCCAGACUCCUACGGGAGGCAGCAGUGGGGAAUAUUGGACAAUGGGGGGAACCCUGAUCCAGCCAUGCCGCGUGUGUGAAGAAGGCCUUAUGGUUGUAAAGCACUUUAAGCGAGGAGGAGGCUCUUUUGGUUAAUACCCAAGAUGAGUGGACGUUACUCGCAGAAUAAGCACCGGCUAACUCUGUGCCAGCAGCCGCGGUAA